rnacentral:rRNA from 1 species
AACGAACGCUGGCGGCAGGCUUAACACAUGCAAGUCGAACGGGUGUAGCAAUACAUCAGUGGCAGACGGGUGAGUAACACGUGGGAACCUUCCUAGGGGUACGGAACAGCUCAGGGAAACUUGAGCUAAUACCGUAUACGUCCGUGAGGAGAAAGAUUUAUCGCCCUUAGACGGGCCCGCGUCGGAUUAGGUAGUUGGUGGGGUAACGGCCUACCAAGCCGACGAUCCGUAGCUGAUCUUAGAGGAUGAUCAGCCACACUGGGACUGAGACACGGCCCAGACUCCUACGGGAGGCAGCAGUGGGGAAUCUUGGACAAUGGGCGCAAGCCUGAUCCAGCCAUGCCGCGUGAGUGAAGAAGGCCUUAGGGUUGUAAAGCUCUUUUGGCAGGGACGAUAAUGACGGUACCUGCAGAAUAAGCCCCGGCAAACUUCGUGCCAGCCGCCGCCGUAAGAC